rnacentral:rRNA from 1 species
CUGGCUCAGAUUGAACGCUGGCGGCGUGCCUAACACAUGCAAGUCGAACGGACGAGGGGAGCUUGCUCCCCAAGUAGUGGCGGACGGGUGAGUAACACGUGAGCAACCUGCCCUUCGGAGGGGGACAACAGCGGGAAACUGCUGCUAAUACCGCAUAAUGUAUCCUGGAGGCAUCUCCGGGAUACCAAAGAUUUUAUCGCCGAAGGAUGGGCUCGCGUCUGAUUAGAUAGUUGGUGGGGCAACGGCCCACCAAGUCUGCGAUCAGUAGCCGGACUGAGAGGUUGAACGGCCACAUUGGGACUGAGAUACGGCCCAGACUCCUACGGGAGGCAGCAGUGGGGAAUAUUGGGCAAUGGGGGGCAACCCUGACCCAGCAACGCCGCGUGGAGGAAGAAGGCUUUCGGGUUGUAAACUCCUUUGACGAGGGACGAUGAUGACGGUACCUCGAAAACAAGCCACGGCUAACUACGUGCCAGCAGCCGC